UAACAGGUUCUGGAGAGUGUUGGCUAGCAGAGAGUGGGUAAAUGGUUUUUCUAUGCUUAAUCUACUCUUAAGGAGUCUCAAAUGCAACAGAGCUUCUUUCCAUGCCUGCAAGGGGGAAAAAUUAUUAGCCAUGCUCUCCUGCAUUAUUAUAGAGUUAAUGUGGGCAUGAAACAAGCAUCUAUGAAGUAGGACUAGAGCAAAUAAGCAACGUUUUGUCAGUACUUCAGUUUGGCCAGGCAAAUGGAUUCACGUUGCUGAGACUGAGAAGCACCGCUCUUGGUGUGGAGCACUGUGAAUCAGCCCUCCUGGAGGAAGAAUUUGAGAGAGACCUGCAGCAUCAACAUGGGGACCCCAUGUCUCCCAUGAAGGAUGAGGGGAGCAGCCCCAUGCCAUGGAAUGAGGGAGGGAAAGGAUAUAGUCCAAGGUCUUGGAGGAGGAAGGUUUUAUGUUUUCUCCUCGGGGAGGACUCUCACUCUGCCUGUCUUCUGCUUCCCUUGACUUUGCCCUUUGAAUCUACUAUUUCCUCCUUCAGCAUCAGUCAUUGAAAACCAGCCUUUCCUGCAUGGCUGCUAGUAUCCCUCUGCUGCUGCUGCCUCACAUUAGCAUCUCCCUCUCUGGGGCUGAGCAAAUCCACACAAAGGGGGUUUAAAGAGCUGGUUGUCAGUUGAGAGCCAAACACGGGCAUGCUCAGCCCCGUGGAUAAUUACAGGGUAUUUUAUAGAGGAUUGACCCAUAAGGCGCAGCUCUAGGACCUAUAGAAACCAACAGCAAAGGGGGCAAGUGCUGAAUUAGCAUCAGUGGUAUUUGAGAGGUGGGCUCAGAUCGGAGUGUGGAGGUUGCCUUGCUCCAGGAGAGGAUACUCCUAUAUUGGGAAGGCUGUUUGUUCACACCCGUGGGUGGUGGGGCUCUUUUGCUGUUUAGGG